CACGUAGGACGCAAGCGUUGUCCGGAAUUAUUGGGCGUAAAGAGCGUGUAGGCGGCCCGGUAAGUCCGCUGUGAAAGUCGGGGGCUCAACCUUUGAAUGUCAGUGGAUACUGCCGGGCUAGAGUCCGGAAGAGGCGAGUGGAAUUCCUGGUGUAGCGGUGAAAUGCGCAGAUAUCAGGAAGAACACCCGUGGCGAAGGCGGCUCUCUGGGACGGUACUGACGCUGAGACGCGAAAGCGUGGGGAGCAAACAGG
rnacentral:rRNA from 1 species